CAGGGCAGGUGGCCAGGGUUUCCUUGGAUUUGAACCUGGAAUGCAGCAGUGCCGUCCCCAGAGACCAGCUGGCAGCUCCAAGAUACUUGGCUUUCCCACACCAUCAUCAUCUCAAUCUGCAAACUGCUUAAUUUCCAUCAGGAUUCUGGAUUUCAGAACGCUGAGGCACAUUUACACUGUUUGACUAGAAACAAAUCAACAGUAAAUCUGCUGCACCUAAACUAAGAGACAGAGAGAAAGAAAGAGAGGGAGAACUCGCUUCUUCACAAUAUUCUGGCUGCUUUGUACAAACAUCUUCCCUGUUCAAUCAUCCCUGAAAAUGUGUGUGAGGAACCCGCGAUCCCGCCGCACCUCGCCUGGUCUGCCUGUCUUGGUACUGAGCAAGUUGAAGGUGCUCGCAGCAAGUACCCACUGCUUCCUAUCUCAGCUGUCACACAAGCAACAAACAUCUCUCUAAACGCUGAGCUUAAUUACCCUGAAGCCAGAGCAGUCCCAGUUCAGGCCAAGCCUGAAGAAGCCUGAGAAAUCAGUGAGAAAUGCUGAAAAUACCUGCCUAGGUGGAAGGCCAGAGCCCGCUGCGAGAUGCUCUGUGCAGGAUCUGCUGCACCCCUCUGGUAACUCAGGCAUGUUUGUGUUUGGUGAAGCAGUCCUGGAGUGGGGCUGGCUUCUCAGGCCGCUCGUGUUGCCGAUUACUCCAAUGUCAUUUAAAACCCAUCCUGUAAAAUGCCCCCCAUCAGGUUUUUGGUGAAGCUGGACUAUCAGCUACCUCACACAUGAGGUGACAUGACGCUGCCUGUUUCUGACAUGUCCCACAUGACCGACAUGCUCCCUGCAGAGCAAUCAAAGCCAUCCACGCAGUCAUGAGAUUUUCAGCUGGUUCCUGUUACAGCUCUGUGUUAACAUUUAUCCUUCUGCUCUUCGGUGGGUGUCCUUGCAGGCAGCAAAUGAGAAAAUUAAUUCUGAAAGAACAAACUUCUUUCUAAUAUUUACUCUCUUUCUCUCCCCUCUGAAUGUAGUUCCAGCUUUAAGCACUUUCUCCUGGAGUUACGAUUUAUUAUCCUGACCUGUUUCCCAAUCUAAGGGCAAAUACUUCCUCUGAUGAUAUCUUGUUAAAGUUUUCAAACAUAACAUCUCCUCAGCCUUCAAAGCUCCUUCCAUCCAUCCACAAGCUUAUUUCAGUCGUCUUCUCAGGCAGAAGCUAUCCCUGUUGGAUCUAAAUGAGGACUUUUGCCACAGAAGUACAUCUCAGUCAUGAUGUGAAACAGAACACUUUCUGCACUCUGCCUUUUCCCCAAAGCGAUGCUCGCUCACUCACUGCUCCGCUCAUGAGUUAGCCGAGCUCAAGCAGUACCUAAGUCCCUUCUCACUGGUCUUACCUGGGAUAUUCUCCUUCCUCAGAUGCAAUUCUGGUUUAUUCUGGUUUAUGCCUGCCCAUACAGUCAGUGCCACCAAAACACAGAGCUCACCAGCAUUCAGUACCACACCUCCAGGGUGCUCCAUGACCAACUUAAACGUCGGUCUCAUGGCCUGUCUCUACGCUCUCACGUGGAACUUGCAUUCCAAACACGUAUUCCUUGAGAUCUGACUAGCUGGGGUUAUCCUCCCUGAGGCUGGGGCAUUCCCAUCUAUAAGGGCCUGCAAACUUGUUUUCUCCUACAAAAGAGGCAGGCCCCUGCCCUCCUUCAGUCCGUUCUACUCUUCUCCUCUGCAUUUUAUAAUCGAACAGGAAAAUAAAGCAACCCCUCCCCCGUUACUUUAACUCUCACCAGUGGCUGAGCUGGUAGCCCAGAGCAGCUCUGUCGCCCUCCAGGUCACCAACCUCAGCUUCUUCGAGCGCCGCGAAGGAGAAACCUGCGGCUUUCACCAGGCUGCCCCUAACGCAGAAAACGUGCGCGUUCAGCGGGGGCGGAUGGAAACGCGCCUGCCCUCUCUGGAGUGGCCAUCGCUACAAAUCAGCGAAGCUGCCUCCCUCCAAAGCGAGCCAGGCACUGAGAAGAUAAAUACUCACUUAGCACAGCAAAAUAAAACCAGCCCCAGAAAGAUGCGAGAGCCCGAAGGGGGACUGAAACAGCCCCUUGCAAACGGUGAAGUAAUGGGCUUAGAGUUUUAUUAUCCGUAUAAAGUUUAGUGACUUCAAAAUGAAGGCGAAGCCAAGCAAGACUUGUUAUCCCACUAAAAUCUGUGCUGUAACUGAAGCCAGUGCCCAGAUGUUCCGUGGUAAAAUCCACCGCCUCGCUGCAUAAAAGCGCCACAUACCCUGACGUACGGUCCUGGCUUGCCUUUAUCCAAACCUCCUUAGAUUCUGGAUUGUUUUUCUAGCAAUCCUUUCAACUGCCAUGGGAAGCAUAAAAGGUGGUCUCCUACGAAACCGUUUGGUACCAGCUUGAAAUGUAACCGUUCGCAGAAAUAAAUCAGGAUUUCUUUUUAAUAAACUGUUUAUCGCCAGCCUCUCGGGACAUAAAUCGUGCAAGAAAAAGCAGGGCCUGAGUUUAAUAAACAUCUCAUCUUUUUAUAUAUAUAUAUUAAGGCAGAAGACCCUGGCACACUUCAGAGUGAAACACCCUGCAAAAAGCUUCCAUCCAGCCCCGCUGAGGGCAUGGGAUGGAGCAAAAGGCCACUGCAUGGAUGGAGCUUUCAGCAAAGGGUUUAUAUCCUAUUGUUUUUAGGGGACAUCUAAGGUAGGCAAACCUUCUAAGGAGGACAAAGGGGACUUGAAGAUGCCCUUUCUGCCCCUGCACACAGCUCAGGAUCCCCAGCCUGGCUCACAGGAGGAGGAGAGGGGUGCUGGGAAAGCCCCGCAGAUGGGCCGAAGCUGCGUGCCGGGAGCUCCAAAGGACAGAUGAACACCGGCUCUGUGGCGAAGGCAUUUAAGCCGAGCGGGGAAGGCAGCGCAGGCGUGACGUGAUUUUGAACAGCUUGCUUGACAGUUUGCACCAGAUUGUAUUUAUAAACACUGGGGAAACCUCAGAGCUUUUUCCUCCGAGCGUUUCCGAAGCGCUCACCCACAAGAACACAGGCGCGCGGGGCGAUCCUACGCAGCUCUGCCUCGCCUCGGUGACAAACUUCUCACGGUUAAAUAAAGGGGCCUGUAGUCAUCUCGGGGUGAUCAGCAUCCCACACAGUGCUCAAAUUCCCUCUCAUCUGACCACCAAAUCCUGACCUUCCCCAGGGCAGCCAGGGUGUGAGGUGACCUGCUGGCCCAUGACGCCAGCAGCACGUCACACGUGUGUGCCACCGCCUGCCAGGUGUGGCUGGUGCCAGGGAGCUGCGGGCAGAGCCUGGCACGUCCCCACUCAGGAGUGGGACAUGCAUAUUUUGUCCCUUCACUGGUUGGGCUGCGAUGACACACUGUGGUGUCCACCCUCCACGGCACAGAAAUCGAGGGGAUUUCUGUCCAGGGCCGCACAGAGACAAGGAGAGUGGGAUGCAUCCGCAGUCCUCAUCGUGGAAACGUGACAAGGAAUUUUGCAGACGUAUUAUAAAGCUCUUUCAAAAUUAAGAAGGGCUCCUUAUCUGCUGGCACAGAAAGCCCACGAGGAGCAGCUAUCACUUUGCUCACAGCAGGGUCAAACACAGCCGCAGGAGCCAGGAUACAUCCACACGGUACCCGCACGUGAUGCGCUACUGCACAUCUCGCCACAUUGCUAAUGGACAAACUAGAAGCUAAAAAUCUCUCAGUGCUUUAAAAAGUCCUCUCCUGCUUCAAAUAUCAGCAAGUUUUAAAUUCUAGACGUUGCUCUAAGUACUUCAGAGAGUUGUAGUGGCACUAGAAAGCUGACCUGGGCAGCUCUCCUGCAGGUACGUGUUUCGCUAUGAGGUAGGAGAGCGCGGCAGGGAGGAUGAGGCAUUCCUGACAAGAAGCAAUCCGAAAUGCCAUUCCUAAAAUAGCUCAGAUUCAGCGAUUUUCAAAGUAGGCUGAGCAGAAACACGAAGUUUUUUCCCCCCUGCUCCCUCACGGCACAGCCAAGGGUGCUGAUGGCGUCUAACACCCAAGCGCUGUUUUUAUGGAAACCAGGUUAUGGCCAAGCCAGCAGAGCCUGCCCAGGGUCACCGAUGCCAUAAAUCACUCGCCGCCAACCUCCCAGGGAGGAAUUCACCCUCACAUCGCUCUCGCCCCUUCCACUUUCACAGACACAACUCCGCCGUCUCCACCAAGCGUGGAAUGGGUGCAUGGAGGCUGGGAGCCCGAGCUCAGUGCCGGAGCAGCCUGACUGCGGGAUGCUCCGGCGGAGACAGUGCCGCACUUGUGCCACCCAACAUCUCCCGCUGUCUGUGGCUGCUCACAAGCAGCCAGGACAGGGAGGUCCGCGAAUUUACGGCAGAGACCUUGCCUCCCCUCGGAGCUCGCCUCCUGCCGCUCAGUCGAGCCACAAGAGCAGCGAUACUGCUUAAUUGCUCUAAUUAACACUGUAGCUAGAUGCUAACCAGCUCCUUCGGUGGGGAGGGGGAGAGUCCGAGGGAAGCUACAAGAUUCACGACCCGCUGUCUGAAACCAGCCUUGCAGAGGCUGCCUGGUCCACGUCGGUGUCCACCGGGAUGAUUUCCAGAGCAGCCCCGGGCAGCGAGGCAGGAUCACGCUCAUCCCUGGCACGGCGCUAACCCGUCCGGGGAACCAGGGCGUGCUACCGCGCUCAAGUGUUACAUUCGUCCAGAAAAAACACGCUCGGAGCAUCACAGCUUGUCCAAAAUCUGCGCUAGCCUUUAACUGCGAAGGUUUAGAUACGUAAAAGUUCUAUCUGCAAGUGAUUAAACAACGCUUUGUAGCCAUUGUCUCCGCGCUGUCGAAAUAAAACCAGAACCAAGGCUGCGCGUAGCAAAC